rnacentral:ribozyme from 14 species
ACAUAAGAAAGAUGAAGAAAUAGUAGACUAGGGCAGAUUUUUGGGUCGUUUGAUGUCUUCAUCUGAUAUUAUUAUUUGUGAAAAUUAUUUGGUUCUAUGAUCCUUCACUUGGGAACAGAGUUGCAGGAAUCAGUGUAAUCAUUGACAGCAACGAACAACCGGCUAAAAUCAGGAAGGG